UAUUGCGCAAUGGGGGAAACCCUGAUGCAGCGACGCCGCGUGGAGGAAGAAGGCCUUCGGGUUGUAACUCCUGUCGUAAGGGACGAUAGUGACGGUACCUUACAAGAAAGCCACGGCUAACUACGUGCCAGCAGCCGCGGUAAAACGUAGGUGGCAAGCGUUGUCCGGAAUUACUGGGUGUAAAGGGAGCGCAGGCGGGUCUGCAAGUUGGAAGUGAAACUCAUGGGCUCAACCCAUGAACUGCUUUCAAAACUGCGGAUCUUGAGUGGUGUAGAGGUAGGCGGAAUUCCCGGUGUAGCGGUGGAAUGCGCAGAUAUCGGGAGGAACACCAGCGGCGAAGGCGGCCUACUGGGCACUAACUGACGCUGAGGCUCGAAA
rnacentral:rRNA from 1 species